rnacentral:rRNA from 1 species
UACGUAGGGCGCAAGCGUUGUCCGGAAUUACUGGGCGUAAAGCGCACGUAGGCGGAUCUUUAAGUCAGGGGUGAAAUCCUGGAGCUCAACUCCAGAACUGCCUUUGAUACUGAGGACCUUGAGUUCGGGAGAGGUGAGUGGAACUGCGAGUGUAGAGGUGAAAUUCGUAGAUAUUCGCAAGAACACCAGUGGCGAAGGCGGCUCACUGGCCCGAUACUGACGCUGAGGUGCGAAAGCGUGGGGAGCAAACAGG